GGUGAUGUAGCUCAGUGGUAGAGCAUGUGCUUAGCAUAGACAAGGCCCUGAGUUCAAUCUCAGUAACACAC
rnacentral:tRNA from 1 species